ensembl:lincRNA
AAUCAACAUCUGGUCAAUGUUUCUGGUGAAGACAUACAUCUUCAUAUUUUACCUCCACAAACCACGUACUUUCAGAUCAAGUAUGUGAAAAAGGUAAGUGUCACCGUCCAUUCCACGUUCUAUGGGGUGUUGGUAUUCCAGGUGGUGGGUCUGCCUGGGCCCUGUGGCGUGUUGUCACCCAGAGUCCUGCUGCCUGCGCAUCCAGGGCCUUGGCCUAAUGAGAGCCCGCUUGUCUUCCAGGAGCACCGCCUCGUCCCUGGCUUGUCCCUCCCAGUCACCAUUACAUUUUCUCCAGAUGAGUGGCGUUACUAUUAUGAUUGCGUCCGUGUUCACUGUAAGGUAAGCUUCUUAAAAUGUUUGGGGGAGGGAAAUGAGGGAGUCAAAAUUUAUAUCCUAAAGGGAAAAAGAAAGGGAGAUUGGAUGACAAGAAUGAGGCUUCCCACCCCAGUGCCUGGGUUUUACCUGGCAACCAGUCCAAUGGCAAGGAAGGGGUGUCCAGUGAGGUGGGUCCAGGAAGGGGGUGUGAGGCAGCCGAGAACUGGGGCAGAGCCGGCCUAAAACCUCACUUAUCAGAUGGUGCUGGGAGGCAGUGAAGGCUUUUCAAACAACUUAAGUGCACUUCUUUAAGUGCUAAGUUGAAAAAAAAAAUUUUUUUUAAUAUUUAUUUCUCUUUCCUUCCCCCCCUACCCAGUUGUCUGUUCUCUGUGUCUGUUCGCUGUGUCUUUGCUUCUGUUGUUAUCAGCGGCACGGGAAUCUGUGUUUGUUUUUGUUGGGUCACCUUCCUGUGUCAGCGCUCCAUGUGUGCGGCACCAGUUCUGGGCAGGCUGCACUUUCUUUGGCGCUGGGUGGCUCUCCUUAUGGGGCGCACUCCUUGCAUGUGGGGCUCCUCUAUGCGGGGGACACCCCUGCGUGGCAGGGCACUCCCUGCACACAUCAGCACUGCGCAUGGGCCAGGCACUGCUCAUGGGCCAGCCCCACACAGGUUAAGGAGGCCCGGGGUUUGAACCGUGGACCUCCCAUGUGGUAGAUGGACGCCCUAACUGCUGGGCCAAAUCUGCCACCCUAGGUUGAAAAAUUAAUCCUGAGUUGUGAUGAGAAGCACAGGUAGCUGAACUGGGUCUCAGGUGGAAUGUCCUUAGAGACAGCCCCUGGGGUCUGCUGGGAGCAGGUGUGGCCUGACUCCAGAUGGCUCUGCUGCUUGAACUCUCCUGGGCUUGUCUAGGUCACCUAAUGCAUCCUUGGCCUCCAGCCACAACCAACUCCAUGUCCUGUCCAUCCUUCCCUUAAAACCGUCAACUCUAUACCCUUUUGUUAUAUUUUCUAGGCCCAACCCUUGCAACCUGAGAAGACUUAGGUUAACUAAAGCCCUAAUUUUUCAAAACUAAAACUGAACAAAUGAGUGACAAAUGAGGUUCAAUUAAAAAAAAAAUGACAACCCAAAAAGAAAAUAUUCCUUUCAGGAAUUUUCUGUUCCAAUCAGAAGAAAUUUUUUCUUAGGCAGGUAUUCUGUAGCAUGUGGGGCACCUUUCCUGCUACUCAAAACUGUAAUAAGAAUGAUAUCUCACAAUUGUGUAAUACUUCUAACUUUUCAAGGUAGUCAUCUUUAAUUCUUAAAAACACCUUUGGGGAAAGAUGAAAUUAUCCCCAUUUUGCAGAGGAAGAAACAAGUCUGAGAGAGGGUAAACUUUUCAUUGGGACUAGAAGCAGAUCUCUGCACUUCUCUCUCUCUCUUUUUUUUCCUAUUUUCAGUUCUUUUUUAUUUUUUUUACUAUCUAGUACUGUGCUGAUUUUUCUUUAUCUUAGGCCACU